rnacentral:rRNA from 1 species
AGAGUUUGAUCAUGGCUCAGAAUGAACGCUGGCGGCGUGCUUAACACAUGCAAGUCGAACGCGAACGAGUUCUUCGGAACUUUAGUAGAGUGGCGCACGGGUGAGUAACGCGUAAGUAAUCUACCCUCGCAUCUGGGAUAACCCACCGAAAGGUGUGCUAAUACCGGAUACGUCUAUGUUAAUAUCUUUUUUAUAGAGAAAGGUGGCCUCUGAUUCAAGCUACUGUGCGGGGAGGAGCUUGCGUACCAUUAGCUAGUUGGUAGGGUAACGGCCUACCAAGGCGACGAUGGUUAGCGGGUCUGAGAGGAUGAUCCGCCACACUGGAACUGAAACACGGACCAGACUCCUACGGGAGGCAGCAGUGAGGAAUAUUGCGCAAUGGGGGCAACCCUGACGCAGCGACGCCGCGUGGAUGAUGAAGGCCUUCGGGUUGUAAAAUCCUGUCAGAUGGGAAGAAGUGUGUAGUACUUAAUACGUGCUACANGGNACG